AGGAUGAACGCUGGCGGCGUGCCUAACACAUGCAAGUCGAACGUCCUGUCUCGCAAGAGGCAGGGAGUGGCGGACGGGUGAGUACCACGUGGGUCAUCUACCGUGAGGUGAGGAAUACCGGCGAGAAAUCGCCGACAAGACCGCAUAGCCUCGGUGCAAGUCGAGGAAAGCUCUCUCGAGAGAGGGAGCGCCACACGAGGAGCCUGCGCCCGAUUAGCUAGCUGGUGGAGUAAUGGUUCACCAGGGCGACGAUCGGUAGCUGGUCUGAGAGGACGAUCAGCCACACUGGGAUUGAGAACGGCCCAGACUCCUACGGGGGGCAGCAGUGAGGAAUUUUCGUCAAUGGGGGCAACCCUGAACGAGCAACGCCGCGUGCAGGAAGAAGGUUUUCGGAUCGUAAACUGACUUUCUCGGGGAAGAGAACGGAGGUACCCGAGGAAUCAGCCCGGCUAACUACGUGCCAGCAGCCGACGU
rnacentral:rRNA from 1 species